CGUACCGACAGCUUUAUCGGGUAAAUACUGAGUCUAAGACUCUUAUCCUAUACCUCAACAUCUGUAAAUAUCAAACAUUUUAUUUUUAAUCAUUUUCGAAAUUUCCAAAAAUUGAAAAAUUUAAAAUAAAUCAAAUCUGUCACUCAAGGGCUUAUAGUCAUAUAACUGUUACUAUGGGUGCUCUUCAUCAAAUCCUGGACUUCAUAACCGGUUCUCAAGUCAGCUAGUUUGGCCGGCUAUAACUUUCAAACAUCGGAAUCAUAAUUAAAUGAUUUAAACAUUAAACAAUUCCAUUAUCAUUAAUAAUUAAUUUAUAUUAAACUAUUAAUGAAACCAUUGCCAAAAUAUAAAAGUUAUUUAUAAUAACUCAAACUAUUUUUAAAACAUUUAUAUUACCCUUAAAUGAUUUUUAAAACAAUUAAAAUCAUUUUUAAAUAAUCACCAUUAAUAUAUAAAUAUUAAUGUACUAUUCAUCCAAAUAUUAAAAGUCAUUAAUUAUAACUUAAAAUAUUUUUAAAUCCUUAAUAUCCUCUUUAAAUGAUUUUUAAAUAAAUAAAACCAUUUUUAAACUAUUUAUUUAAUAAUAAUUAUUAAAUAAACUAAAUAUCAU
rnacentral:lncRNA from 1 species